rnacentral:rRNA from 1 species
UACAGAGACUGCAAGCGUUAUUCGGAUUCACUGGGCGUAAAGGGUGCGCAGGCGGCCAAGUGUGUCAGGUGUGAAAUCCCGGAGCUUAACUCCGGAACUGCGCCUGAAACUACUUGGCUAGAGCAUUGGAGAGGGAAGUGGAAUUCACGGUGUAGCAGUGAAAUGCGUAGAUAUCGUGAGGAACACCAGAGGCGAAGGCGACUUCCUGGACAAUUGCUGACGCUCAGGCACGAAAGCGUGGGGAGCCAAAGGG